AUGCCCAUCUCCGCCGCCGGCAACAUCUGGGCUCUGUGGCCCAUCAUGGAAUAUGGCGUCAAGUCGAGCCUCCUCAUACGACCCCUGCAUCUGCUCCCCGGCGGCGGGGGCCAAUGGGAGCAGGUCGGCCAACACAAACACGACAAGGACGAGUACCGGUGGUUGGCCGGCGGGUUCCUCCAGGGCUACGCUAUGCUCCCCGGCCCCCUCAUCCUCGUCUCCUUGAAACAAGACCGGGCCUUCUUCACCUUCACCCAUGGCUCCGGCGACUGGACCCCGGUGCUCACCGACGAAACAAGGCCGCCGCAAGACUACGUCCCUAUCAUCGGCCGCGCCGUCUACAUGGAGCAAGACAAUGCCAUCUACAUGCUCCGUGGAAACACCAUCUAUGCCUACAAGCUCAGCUACAUACACCAGGACCAGAGUGAUGAUCAGGGGAGGGGGAGGCUCCGGCUGGAUCCGCCCAUCACCAUCGACUCUGGAGUACGAGGACAUGGACUCUCCGGUGCUGCUGCAACACCAACAAGGGCAAGAGAAGGAUCUAAACCAACGUUAACAGCAGACGGUUUCUCAAAAUGGAAGGCUGCCCACGCCUUUGUUUCUCUGCGGCAUGAAUGGUCACGUUGCCCGCGACUGCUCUCACCCGCCACAGGAGCGGAUGCCCCCCUCGGCAUUGCCUCCCUGCACGCUGGUCGGCCGUGCUUCAAUGCAACACCGAGUCCCUUUCUCAAGGCGUCCUCUUGCUACAACAACUAG
rnacentral:rRNA from 1 species